rnacentral:lncRNA from 10 species
UCUGAGAUAAUUUUUCAGGUUUACAGACAGAUUUGAUAGACUUCUUAGCAAUAAAGUUAAGAGUAUUUAAUUAAUUCUUUUAUCAGCAGACAGCAACAGAUAAGGGGUUUGUUUCUUUUUAAAAACGUCUCUUCCUGUUCCAUUUUAUAAAUUCAUUUUUAAAUAAGCAUGAUUCUUUUUCUUAGACUUCACUUACCUUUUUUAACUGUGCUUCCAAUUUGCUACAUUCCUCUUUCUUUUGUUCAAUGGCUAUUUCUAGAGAUUUUAAUUUGGAAUCCCUUUUCAGCCCCGCAGAGGCUAAUGAAGAUGCAUGUUCUUUGAGGUCAAUUAAACUAGACUGAAAGAGAAAGAAUGUGAGUGAGUAAAACACUGAAAUUUCUACUAGCAAUGCCUUCAAUUUGAACACAUUGAUUCUAUACAUAGCAAUAAAGUGUGCAGUAGACAGAAAGGGUAAAUAUAAUCUUACUAAGGUAACAAUAGUCAGCUCUGGUCAGGAAAUUAAAGUUGGCCAGCUUACAGAACGAGUAGGAUCUAAUUGCCGUAGAAUCAAAUGUGACCAAAUGGUGUGGUCAGUAAAUGCAUGUUUCACGUCUCAAAGUCAUGCUAAUGAUGUAAGUCCCAAGGUGGUCUUUACAUGUCAUAGCAAAACAGACACCCUGAACCUUCCGUUUACAUUUAUUGCUGUCAGACUAUGCAGACAUUGAGACAAAUACGAAAGAAAAUACUGACUUUAAUGCAUCCGCUCCCAAGAGCAAGUCAAAUAUAAAAGAAGCCUCCUACUACAUUUUUAUCAAAUCCCAUUUCUUUAACAGAUAAAUGAUCAAUGGUUUUACAAACAUCUUCUGGAAAAUUAACAUAAAAUUAUUUUAAAAUUUAGAGUAAAUUUUAUGUUUGCGUCCUUUGCAAUCUAGAUUUGACAGAUAUGAUGAAUCUUUCCAACUCAGACAUAGGGUUACCUAAAUUGUUCCAGUCACUAAUCAUGUCCAGAAACCAACAGGCUCCACAUAUAGUUUGAAUUCCAAAAACUACAGAAAUAAAUAACUUGCAUAUAUCACUGAACAUAACUUUGCAACCUAAAAGAGCAAUGUUUGUCAUCAAAUAUGAAAUAGCAACAUCUAACUAUGUGACUCAGAUGUACAGGUUUUACCCCAAAACAGACUCCAUGUAUUUCCUUCUUGAUCAUUUGCAUCACCUAGGAAGAUACUAAAGACACAAUGGUCUCUCUGUAAACAACGUUGGCUAAUAAUUUACACUGGGUUGCUUCAUGGACACUGGAAUAACCUUGAUGAUAAAAAUCACCAUCAUCCAGCAAGGUGCUUCUAAAGCCCUCUGGGGAACAGAACCCUGACUGACACACCCAGCCCAGUGCCAAGCACAUCAUGCAGAAACAACAAGUGUUUACCAAAAUGUCUAUCUGAAAGUCAUACAAUGUUGGCAUUAUUUACAAAACUAUUUUCACUUACAGCUUAUGCUCCACCACUUCAUCAAGAUCUCUUUUCAUUAGAAGUAUAUACAUUGAUUUUAAGGUGCAAACCGACAAAUAACACUUGCAACCGGUGAAGAAUGCUAUAAACAAAGUCAAAGCUUCCAUAUCUUCUGUCGCAUACAAACAACAGUCAUCACAGAUCCUCCAACUCAGAAUCAGCAGUGGAAGCUAGGAAGAGAACUCCAUUCUUUAUAUUCAUAACAAAGAAAUAAGCUCCUUUCUAAAAAGCAAGUAGGUUUAAAUUUUAGGAAAUACGGAUUUUCUUUCUGAUUUUCCUCGAAACUCCUCUUACUCAUCCAUUCUUUUCCUUCUUCAUCUAGAUUCCUAAUUUAUUCAGGACUUUAGUUUGUGUGGAAUUAUCAGUACCACACGAGUGAGGAAAUACUGCGGAGCUAGGAGAUAGAUAACUGUGCUGUGGUACCGUCCAGCAGGGUGAAAGGUCUAUAACAGCUCUAAAGAAGAUGGACAGUUACAGCAGACAAAAGUAAGUGUGAAGGGGCCAAUUGCAGGCAAUCUCCACGCAUCUCAGAGCUGUGAGGAUUAAAUAAAAUAAUGUGUAAUUACUGCUGCUCAUACUUCUCCACCGAACUAUCCCCAAGAAAACUGAGAGGGUUACAGGGAUCCCUUGAAGAAUGGGGGAAUAGCCCAAAGCAUCCUCUUCAUAACCCCCAAGCAAGAAUUUCUUCAAAGUAUAAGAUUUUACUUUAAAAACACAGGUGGCAUUUAUAUUCUGUAUUCAUGUUUGCUAUGGUAUAAAAAUACAGCUCUAAAUUAUUUACUAUAAUGUAAAAAUAAUAUGCCAGAAGAGCAGCCACACUUAAGCUCUACCUUGGGGUCCAGCAUGGUACCACAUCUCCUAAUCUGAGAGUAUUGGGUGGUCCCUUUGAAAAGUACAGAUGAAUGCAAAGCACUUGACACAAGGAAUAGUACAUAGCAGACACCCAAUAAAGUAGAGCUAUUGUUACUAUCAUCAUCGCUGCUGUUGUUAUCUCAAGCAAGGGAUCAUGGGCCUGUGAAAAAUACAGAAUCCUUUAAGCUGUGCAAAUGUGGUAAGACAUAAAGAAAAGUUUCAAGGAGCUACAUUGUAUAUGGUUAGCAGAGCAGAGAAGAUAGGCAUAGGGCAUCACAGAUGAAGGAAGUUACAAAAAAAAAAAUUCCUUUAAAUUCAGGCAGCUUUACAAAAGAAAGGUUACUACAUUCCCCAAGCCUUCAUACAGUGCCUCCUACUAAGUCUCUAGUCUCUUGCAGCUUCAUUGAAUAUGGGUUUAUGAGGACUAUCAAUGUGGUUCAUUUGUUUUUCCAGACUCACCUCUUUCUCAGUCAGUUCAGCCUGUAAAGCAUUGACCUUCUCUUUCAGGUCUUUGUUCUCUUUUCGGAAGGAUUCUAUCUCUUCUAGUCUUUCCCGAUCAUCUCUUUCUCGCUGUUCUUUCAAGCGCUCAAUUAUUCUCUCCUGUAAGGCAAUUAACAAAAAAGAAGAGGUGAGAACCCAUCAGUGUAUAUGCCAAAGCAUACUGUAAAAGAAAAUAAGAGGCAGUACAUCUAAGAAAUGCUGUACAGGAAUCAACACACACAAGAAAAUCAAAAUUGGAUUCGUGGGGAGGCUGUGCAUAACAGCACUUGGGAAGGACAACCAAUAACAGCUUUUGACUUGUUAAUAAAAGUUAAUAUCACAGGGUUGCAAAGGAACGUAAUGUUCAAGUUCUGUGGUUGCUCUUGGUUCAUGGUAGUAUCCAGCAAAUUUCUAGAGCAGCUCUAGAAGAGGGAGCUUCAGACACCAAGACUCCAGACCUACCACAGCCUUGCACAGGAAAGGGGAAGAAGUAGAACAUGCCUCUUGGCUCCGCCCUCUUUGCUUAGCCUCUCCAUUUGUCAUCAAAGAGCCUUCAUUGGUUUCUGAAGACUGUUCUCUGGCUAGAUGGGAAUGAAGUGGGGCAGGACCCAAACCCUCCAGGACUUAGAGCUGGGACUCAUUGUGAGAACUUGAGACAAAGAAUCAGUCCAUUGUGUAUGUGAUUUUCCAGUGUGUCUGAGGAUGUUUACUUCUGUGUUUUUUCAGUGGUUUCUUGAUAGUCAGCAGAGAAUCCAAAACACUGGCUGAGUUUGAACGAAGUUCAGCAGCAGCUUUAUUUUAUUGAGGGCUUACUACAUGCUAGGCACUGUGAUGUGCUCUCCUCAUCAGCCCUCAUCACAAGCGCAAGGGCAGAUCCAGUGCUCUUGGUGACGGUGUAGAGGUGAGGAAACCCAGAGCUCCGAGAUGCAAGGUGGCCCAGGUCAUAAACAGAACGCCUCCCACAUCCCAGGCUCUCUGACUGUCAGCCACACCCAUGAGACCACACUGCCACAAACAUACACCUGGAGCCAUUCAAGGAGGUCUGCCUUUGACUUUCACACUGAAAUGAAAACACUGCUUUGUAGACUUGUUUUCCAAAAAUAGGGAAUCUGCCUGAUAUCAAAGUAAGAAACUUAAACACACACACACACACACACACACACACACAUGCACACGAAAAUUCCAUCUGCGUAAAGCUUGAGUUAGAUUUCUGAAAUUAGUUUGAAAUUAUCCAACACAUAUCUAAACUUCCUCUCGGAUGGCCAUGUUAAAAAAUACUGGUGCAACAACUGUGGCCAAGGAUCCUGAUACUAUCUUUUAUAUUCUUAUAAUUGCAUAGUGCAAGACAAUGCCUGAUAAAUAAGACAACUGUAAAAUAGUAUUUAAUGCAGAGGGAAGUUAGUUUGAACAGUUAGCCUGUGAUUUAAGAUCCCCCGAGGAAGCAACUGUUCUACCCCACUGACAAUAAUUUAUAUAUCUAAUGCUUUCAGCGGAGGAGGUACCAUUACUAUUUUCCAAUUAUUUAAAAACACUUUAAAUGAAAUAUAUUAUUAUAAGAGAGGAGGCAGAAAUAUAACAAAUGAAACUAUUAAUUGCCUAUAUUUGUUUCUUCUUGAUCCCAGACCUAGUUUACCUACCUGUGACAAUGGUGAGUGGAUGACUAUGUGAUCCACAAGAGAAGGAAAUGGCCACAGUACAUGGUCAAUCUCUCAAGGGUUUUUAAUGAUUUCAGCAACCAAGACCUUGCUGCCUUUUGCCCACACUACAACCAAUUACCCAGCCACCUCUCCGUCCCAUCCCUUCCACUACAUGGCUGUUGGAGCGACAUUUCUAAAGCUCCAAAAGGACCUGUCGUCUCACUAUUUGGAAACCUUCCCAGGAAUCCCUCUGGCUGGAUCACGUGGCACUUAUUCCCACUCGGCAGCCUUCACGUGGUUUCACUGCAUGAUCAUCCUCCCAGCCCCACUUUCAAGAGGGCAGCACUAAAAUCCUAUGAGUCUUCUUGACCCACAGCUGGGCAAAUCAUCUGGCAUACAACAAGCAAUUAAAAGAGCUGAAGGAAGGAAGGAGAACUCAAUUAGGGAUCAUCUUGGCUUCAAAGAAAAGGUAAUAAAAUUAAGCAGACAUGUUAACAGCCAGAAGGUGUCAGAAUCGUUUGGAAAGUAGGUCGAUUUGCUCUAAGCACUCGUACUAUUGACUGGGCAUUGAUGACAAAAAAAAUCAACAAGCACUAUAAUGUUUUUAAGUGUUAUUGAUGAUUCAAUACUACAACAUAUUUCUCCGUCAAUCACAAAACCAAUUUAACUGUCAGCCGCGCAGGGCCAGAUGUCAAAAACAUGUGUUAAAAGGCCCUAAUAUACCAUGAUGUACUUGAUUAAAAACUAACUUGCAGAAAUUCCAACAAUGUGUUCUUGUUUUAGUCUUAUUUGCAUUGGCAAGCAUUCCUUGUGCACUCAUCUGGCUCUGCACAGGUCUAAUCUAUUUGUGCUUUAUCACAGGGUGGGAACUAAAUUACAGUGGCCUCCAGCUCCACUAUCUGGCUUUCUCAACUGCUUAUCUGCUAUGUGGCUACAGCAAGGCUUUGCGAGACCAGCUUUAUAAAUACAGUGGGUUCCAUCUCUUGAGCUUCUGUGUGUCAAUCCUAGAACCAAGUCAUAUUCAAUCUUAACUCACGGAGAGGCAUUAUUCUUUGCACUCUGUUAAUAGUUGAAUAAGUUCCUGGAAAGUAAAAGGAAUAACAUACUCCCUAGGAUGCCAUAAUCCAGGG